CCUGUAGCUCAGUUGGAUAGAGCAACGGCCUUCUAAGCCGUGGGUCGGGGGUUCGAGACCCUCCAGG
rnacentral:tRNA from 1 species